rnacentral:rRNA from 1 species
ACGAACGCUGGCGGCGUGCUUAACACAUGCAAGUUGAACGGUGAAGCGCCUUCCUUUUUGGUGGGUGUGGAUGAGUGGCGAACGGGUGAGUAACACGUGAGUAACCUGCCCCCUUCUUCUGGAUAACCGCAUGAAAGUGUGGCUAAUACGGGGUAUUCUGGGUCUGUCGCAUGAUGGGUCUGGGAAAGAUAUUGUUUCGGUGGGGGGUGGGCUCGCGGCCUGUCAGCUUGUUGGUGGGGUGAUGGCCUACCAAGGCGGUGGCGGGUAGCCGGCCUGGGAGGGUGGCCGGUCAGACUGGGACUGAGACACGGCCCAGACUCCUACGGGAGGCAGCAGUGGGGAGUAUUGAACAAUGGGCGCAAGCCUGAUGCAGCGACGCCGCGGGAGGGAUGGAGGCCUUCGGGUUGUGAACCCCUUUCGCCAGUGAAGCGGGCCUGCCUCGUUUGUGGGUGGGUUGACGGUAGCUGGAUAAGAAGCGCCGGCUAACUACGUG